rfam:Equus caballus chromosome X, whole genome shotgun sequence.
CUGUAUGCAGUGCCCUGCCCAGAAGGUACUUAUCACUUAGCCUACGUGUAAUUAGUACCUGUCCGGGUAGAGUAAUGCUCAAGCA